rnacentral:lncRNA from 10 species
CUGCCAUCUCCCCAUCCGCACAUUCUGUGUCCACCGCAAGCACCUUCAGGUGGCAUCGGUCCAUCUGACGCGUGCUGAGAAGGCAGUCCGGCCCGCAGGCAUGGGGCCGCCCCUCCCUGCCCUUCCUCUCUGCUCGGUCAUGCUGUGAUUAUGCUGAGAACUGACAGCACCUGCAACCUGCAUUUUUAUUAAUUAGAUAACACAAGUCUUCUAUAAUUUUCAUUUUUAUUCCCCACCCCCCCCCACCGCCACUCCACUUAGAGCGGAGGUUCUCAGAGUGGGGCCCCUGGGCCAACAGCCUCUGCAUCAGCUGGAUUCUCGUUGGGAUCACAGAGCCCGGGGCCACCCCAGAUUGUGGGGCAGCAAUCUGUAUUUCACAAGCCCCCAAUGGACUCUGAUGCAGGCUAAGGUUUGAGAGUCACUGAUUUAGAGUAAAAUUUUGGUUUCUGUUUUAAGCAAAUUCACUGAAAGUAGCCAGUUAUCCUUGUUAAAAAGGCUUUCAGUGUUUCCCUAUUUUAGGGGUCUUGCUGUCUGCCCAGGCUGGAGUGCAGUGGCACAAUCAUACCUCGCUGCAAUCUUGACAUCUGGGGCUCAAACCAACCUCCCACCUCAGCUCCUGAGUAGCUGGGACUACAGGGGCACACAACCAUGCCUGGCUUUUUUUAUUUUUUAAUUUUUUGAAAGAAAGGGUAUUUCUAUAUUGCCCAGGCUGGCCUUGACUCAAGCAAUCCUCCCAUCUCAGCUUCCCGAGUAGCUGAGACUACAGGCCCUUGCCACCACGCCUGGCUAAUUUUAUUUUUUGUAGAGACAAAAAAGUAAGACUCACGUUGUUGCCCAGGCUGGUCUCAAGCUCCUGGUCUCAGACAAUCCUCCUGUCUCGGCCUCCCGAAGUUCUCGGCGCGCAGCAGAACCAUCACCAACCAAACAAAUGAGAAAUCAGGGCGGAUUGGACUCAGAGACAAAUGCUUUCCGGUGAGCAGCCAGGCGCACAGCAGAACGAUAGAGGAGCGCUCAGAACUCGGGAGUACCUGUCACCUCUGCCAUGGUGGCUGGGCUCGCUCACGGUGACUGUUUCCCUAGCAGGAGAGACCCUGGCUGUGACCCUGCAGCCUGUGCCUCCUGCUGCUGCAGGGAGAGAGGGAGUGCCCGGCGCCUACCUGGGCUUUUCCGGGCCGUCCGUCCGCUCAUCAUGCCCCUUGCCCCAGCUCACUUCACAUCUUCGCUGGGUGGGGAUUCAAGGACAGGCUGGGCUCUAGGAGGUCAAUGGUCCCUCCCCGGGCUUCCAGCAUG